CACAAUUUUGAGGCCAACUUCAUUUUGAAUAUUCACUUCGUUGCUUAAACAUGAGUUCGGAAGUUGUUGCUUUACUUAUUAUAAAUGACGCGCUCUCUUUGACAGCCGAAAUAAAAUGGCGAAAUCGUUUGAAAUCGCACGACCAACCCAAACACAAUCCAACUUGACAAAAUAUCAAAAAAUUUUGAUUUUCAUCCAAUCAGUUGGUGCAACCCAUACAACUGCCCCAUAUAUGUACGUAACAAUCAGUUGUACAAUUCGGUGAAAUUGGUACAAUAUUUGUAGCGUGUAUGCCUUCCAUAAAGGUUGCCCAACUGACUGUGCUUAACUAUUUUAACCCUCGUCGAGACCAACGGGUCUGGCCAGGCAUAUUUUGUUUUUAAAUGUUAUUUAAAUAUAUUUAGAGUGCAGCAAACGACUUGCGCUUCCAGGUAGCUCCCUAGAAUUUUAUUGUCUAUAGAAUUCAGAAAAAAAAAUUCAAGGAUAUCGUAUCGAAAAGGACGAAAAAAGGAUAUUAUAAUAUUACACCUUAGUCGAGGCCAAUGGUGCUUGGCUAGACCCCAUAUGUUUUGUAUGAAAAUAUAUGAACUUUGGAAUGUUUCUAUCACUUCGCACGGUUAAUUUAUCUGUUUUCAUGUUCAUUACAUGUCCAAAUUGGUUUGUAUGUUUAUCUAGGUCAAAUACUUUAGCCGCUAGAGCGUUUUAAAGGUUAAGAAAAAAUGUAUUUUUUCUCAAAAUGUUACAUUUUUUGUGAACGCUUUUGCUACGCCAAGCGUGAACAAAGCGGUCAAUUUGAUUGAAAUCAAAUUGAGAGGUAAGAAAUUUCAAAAAUCUAUCUAUAUUGUACAUAUAUGAGCGUAAAUACAACACGUAUUUCCAUACAAAUGUAUGUAAACACAUAGGGGCCUAGCCAAGCACCAUUGGUCUCGACUAAGUGUAUCAGACCGUUGGUCUCGACGAGGGUUAAUGCUAAAGCAUUGAUUCGAUUACAGAUACAUCAUAACAAACUAAAUGGCGACAACUGGCUCCGGGAGGCGACGACGGCGCACUCUAUUUGUUUCCUCUAACUUACUAUCCGGUUAGAUAUGCAGAUAAGUACAUAUGUAUGUAUGUACUUAUGUAUAACCCUCACGCAGUCGAUGGCUGAAGUGGCGACAACUUUAAAGGUCCAUUGUCAUCGACAGUCAACAAUUUGCGUCAUUUUUGGACCACCAGGAGAGUCAGGAUCAAUGUCACCAGGAUGCGCCAUUUUGCAAGCGAUAACUUGAAUAAAAAUUGAGGUAUCGCGAUGAAGCUGGGUAAAAUUGGAAACUGAUAAAACUCGAAUUUAAUUUGCAUAAUAAUUAUUGCAAUUCGUGACUGCACACUUCAUUUUAUAUAUGGUAAAUAGUUAUACACUUGGCUAUUUUCGGAUCGAAAAGACAACCACCAGCUGGAUCAUGUGACCCUGACCAUGUCUUGUUGCAGCGAAGAUACGCACCCGCCUCUGGCAGCAAGAAACGCACGCCAAUAAACACAAGAGAGGUUCGACGUCGAGGAGCUGCAGACAGCCGAAAGAUUUUUUUGCUCGACUUGCUCUCCUGCACUCCUGAGUGCACUCAUUAGCAACUCGGUAUAAGUGAAGUGUGGGAUGGCAUUUCAAGCUCCUCAUGUACAGGGGUAAUUCUCGAAAUUCUACGAAAAGAUGCGGCCACUAACAGAAAGUGAUUGAUGCCCAGAACACUUCUCCAUUCUGGUUGGCAGAAGCACUUCUAAUUAGAGUGUUGCCUCAUUAAGUGUAAAUGAGUUAUAAAUAAUAAUUGUAAGCUCCAAGAAAGAGUAAUAAAAUGUAAAGUUAUUUAAAUAAGAAGUAAAGACCAGCAGAUAGCCAUAAAAUUGUGACUUAUAGCAUCCAGUGAUCGAACACAAAGUAGUAGUAGUAAAUCUGUUAUAUUUUUCCACUAGUAGCCACCAUAUAAACCGUCUAUCUAAAUAAGUAAAAACUUCACUUUAGAUCAUAAAAGUUUUUUGCGACACUUAGGGGUGUUGUGGAAUCUGAUAG